CUGGACCAGACCUCAGCCUGGCACUGCCAUGGUGCAGGAUGAAGGAGUAAGCCCUGAUGAGAGACAGAACCAAGCUCCCAAUCUUACAUAAAGUAUCAGAAAAUAAAGGCACAGCAACAGCCUCAUGUGUGGGAAGGGGGACAGGGGACUGGUCAGGCUUCGCCCACUUCUGAGGACACUCCCAUCCCCUCUCUUACAGAUGCUCUGUUCCCACCAUUGCCUUGCUUUUACUCACAAACAGAAUUUAAGUCCCACCCCCACACGUCCUGGAUUGCUGGUCACAGGAGAAAGGUCAGCUGCAUUCUGCUCUCUUUCUCCUUCUAUUAUUACGCGGGCUAAGUUGGACAAGGGCUUGUUUCUUUCUUGCAAGGUCUUCCUGUAGGCCAGAAGUGAUAUUUAAC
rnacentral:lncRNA from 1 species